rnacentral:rRNA from 1 species
CCUACGGGGAGCAGCAGUGGGGAAUAUUGCACAAUGGGGGAAACCCUGAUGCAGCGACGCCGCGUGAGUGAAGAAGUAUCUCGGUACGUAAAGCUCUAUCAGCAGGGAAGAAAAUGACGGUGCCUAACUCCUACUCCCCUGCUAACUCCGUGCCAGCAGCCGCGGUAAUACGUAGGGGGCAAGCGUUAUCCGGUUUUACUGGGUGAAAAGUGAGCGUAGACGGCAGCACAAGUCUGGAGUGAAAUCCCGGGGCUUAACCCCGGAACUGCUUUGGAAACUGGGCGGCUGGAGUGCAGGAGGGGGAAGCGGAAUUCCUAGUGUAGCGGUGAAAUGCGUAGAGAUUAGGAGGAACACCGGUGGCGAAGGCGGCUUACUGGACUGUAACUGACGUUGAGGCGCGAAAGCGUGGGGAGCAAACAGGAUUAGAUACCCUUGUAGUC